UAUCAAUAAGCGGAGGAAAAGAAACCAACAGGGAUUGCCCCAGUAACGGCGAGUGAAGCGGCAACAGCUCAAAUUUGAAAUCUGGCCCCCAGGGUCCGAGUUGUAAUUUGCAGAGGAUGCUUUGGGCGAGGUGCCUUCCGAGUUCCCUGGAACGGGACGCCACAGAGGGUGAGAGCCCCGUAUGGUCGGACACCGAGCCUCUGUAAAGCUCCUUCGACGAGUCGAGUAGUUUGGGAAUGCUGCUCAAAAUGGGAGGUAUAUGUCUUCUAAAGCUAAAUACCGGCCAGAGACCGAUAGCGCACAAGUAGAGUGAUCGAAAGAUGAAAAGCACUUUGAAAAGAGGGUUAAAAAGUACGUGAAAUUGUUGAAAGGGAAGCGCCCAUGACCAGACUUGGGCCCGGUGAAUCAUCCGGCGUUCUCGCCGGUGCACUUUGCCGGGCACAGGCCAGCAUCAGUUUGGGGCGGGGGACAAAGGCUCUGGGAAUGUGGCUCCCUCGGGAGUGUUAUAGCCCACCGCGUAAUACCCUGCGCCGGACUGAGGUACGCGCAUUCGCAAGGAUGCUGGCGUAAUGGUCAUCAGCGACCCGUCUUGAAACACGGACCAAGGAGUCGUCUUCGUAUGCGAGUGUUCGGGUGUCAAACCCCUACGCGGAAUGAAAGUGAACGCAGGUGAGAGCUUCGGCGCAUCAUCGACCGAUCCUGAUGUCUUCGGAUGGAUUUGAGUAAGAGCAUACGGGGCCGGACCCGAAAGAAGGUGAACUAUGCCUGUAUAGGGUGAAGCCAGAGGAAACUCUGGUGGAGGCUCGCAGCGGUUCUGACGUGCGAAUCGAUCGUCAAAUAUGGGCC
rnacentral:rRNA from 1 species